CCGUCUCUAGUAAGCCUCGUUUAAUACACCUGUCACACAUGGAAACGCGGAAGGUGUUGGAUUCCCCUCCCCUUUAAACAGUCCCAGAAGACGCCGUAUGAUUAUUGCCAAGAUGAGGCUGUCACACCGGUAAUCCUCCCCUCGGCUCCAUCGGAAGGAUUGUUCCUGUGGAUGUCAAGGUCUGGACGUUGUUUUGACUGCAUCUCUUCGUCCAAGUUGACACAGCAUGCUCUGUCAUUAGCUCAUCUGUCGAAUCUAAUGUAACAUGAACAGCAAAUCUGAUACAGUGAUGUGGAUAUGAAGCAAAGAUUAGACUCAGGCUUAUGAGAAAUACCUUGUAGAUCUCAAACAAAAUGAGCAACACUUAACAGAUCUGAUGCUGUCAAAUGCCUAUAGACAUAAUAAAAGACAUAAGGUUUAAAAAACAAGAUAUCGUGACAGGCCGGCCAGUAAAAUCUUGAUACACACUCUGCAGUCUUAAGCACUUAUGUUGUGAGAAAACUCCAUGUGAAAUUGAAAGGGAAUGUGUCUGUCACGAGUCCCCAUGCUGUCCCAUCCUGUCCAAACUGGAAGACUGGAGCAGACCAGAGAGCACAGAUAAUGUGACGCCACCCUCUUCCUUGCUUGUGUAUAACAUCCUCUAGUUCUGUCUGGAUCAAAGCAGAGACAGAUCGCACACAUCCUCAGUAAACCCCACAGAGUGACUAUCUGGGGGCUACCUCAGCGUCAAAGAUUGUUAGCGAGAGCGAUUCCUCUGCGCCUGAGAGAAAAGUUUGGCUGCUGAAAGUGGUGGAGGCGCUCUGCAUGGAGGGAAAAACAAGCAUUAGUGAAGGAAGAGGUCAGCAAGGCGUCUGUAAUGAUUGCUUAAUGACAAAGACAGAGGUGAGAAUGAGUCAUAGAAUGAGUGCAAGAUGGGAAAUAUAACGGGACCCAAUCCUGAUCCGUUGUCUGAGAGACAAACUAUACAACUUCCAGGGGUAGGUUAAGAAGCUUUUUUCAUUUAUACUCAUUUGUAAAAAUGAAUUAAAAUAAUUAUUAAGA